AUACUGAUGACAGGUCAGAAGAGACAGAAAAGCAUAUUAAUUUCAGAGUUUUGCUAUUGUUUAGUUUCCUAAAAAUACUGAGUAGCCAAAUGCUGAUCAUAUUUCCAUUAUUCAAAAUAGAGAUCAGAUCAAUACAGAGUUCAGUAGCCAGAGGAUACAACUACCAAAAGUCUCAUCAUGCAAACACAAAGUUGACCAGAUCUAGUGCAAUUUUUUUUUUUCUUUUAAAGUAUCAAUUGAGCAUGUUCCCUCCCAUUAGGGUUUAGAAGCAAUGACUGCAUCUGACACCAGGACCUAUCAAAUUUAUUCUUUGGGGAUCAGGACAAAACAAGAGCCCAGUAAAUGAAGCAUUGAAGCCCACAAGGAAAACAAACAAGUUGCUGCACUUGGGCAGUUUCCCUCACACAAUCAUGCAAACUGCAGCAGUCCACAGUGACAGACUAACUGUCUCAUCCA